UACGAAGGGGGGCUAGCGUUGCUCGGAAUGACUGGGCGUAAAGGGCGCGUAGGCGGAUGUCUUUGUCGGGCGUGAAAUUCCAGGGCUUAACCUUGGGGCUGCGUUCGAGACGGGAUGUCUUGAGUGGGGGAAGAGGGUCGUGGAAUUCCCAGUGUAGAGGUGAAAUUCGUAGAUAUUGGGAAGAACACCGGUGGCGAAGGCGGCGACCUGGUCCUUGACUGACGCUGAGGCGCGAAAGCGUGGGGGAGCAAACAGG
rnacentral:rRNA from 1 species